CCUACGGGUGGCAGCAGUGAGGAAUAUUGGUCAAUGGCCGGAAGGCUGAACCAGCCAAGCCGCGUGAAGGACGAAGGUGCCAAGCAUUGUAAACUUCUUUUGUCAGGGGACAAAGUCAGGCACUAGAGCCUGAACGAGGGUACUUGAAGAAAAAGCAUCGGCUAACUCCGUGCCAGCAGCCGCGGUAAUACGGAGGAUGCGAGCGUUAUCCGGAUUUAUUGGGUUUAAAGGGUGCGCAGGCGGGCUGUUAAGUCAGCGGUAAAAGCCCGGGGCUCAACCCCGGCGCGCCGUUGAAACUGGCUGUCUUGAGAUGUCGAGAGGUAUGCGGAAUGCGCAGUGUAGCGGUGAAAUGCGUAGAGAUUGCGCAGAACUCCGAUGGCGAAGGCAGCAUACCGGCGGCGAUCUGACGCUGAGGCACGAAAGCGUGGGUAGCGAACAGGAUUAGAUACCCCAGUAGUC
rnacentral:rRNA from 1 species